rnacentral:lncRNA from 1 species
AUUCUUCUUCCAAGCAAUUUUACUCUUAAGUGUCUUCCGAGUAUUUUCCCUUUAAGCAUUUUUUGGGCUCUUGGCCCUAAUUCUUCUUUUGAGCAUUUUUACUCUUAAGCGUCUUCCAAGCAUUUCUUUCCUUAAGCGUCUUCCAAGCAUUUCUUUCCUUAAGAGUCUUCCAAGCAUUUCUUUCCUUAAGCGUCUUCCGAGCAUUUUUGCCAUGAUUCUUCCUCCAAGCAUCCUUUCCCUUAAGCAUUUCUUUUUGCUCUAAGUGUUUUCCGGACUCUUAGCCAUGGUUCUUCCUCCAAACAUCCUUGCCCUUAAGCAUUUCUUUUUGCUCUUAAGCAUUUUUCAAACUUUUAGCACUGGUUCUUCCUCCGAGCAUCCUUGCCCUUAAAUGUUUCUUUUUUGCUCUUAAGCGUUUUUCGGGCUCUUGGCCCUAAUUUUUCUUCCGAGCAUUUUUGCCUUUAAGCAUCUUCCGGGCUCUUACCCUUAAUUCUUCUUUUGAGCAUUUUUGCUCUUUUGGUCCUGAUUAUUCUUAUGAGCACUUUUGCUCUUAAGCGUUUUUUGGAUUCUUGGCCCUGAUUCUUCUUCUGAGCAUUUUUGCUCUUAAGUGUCUUCUAUGCACCUGCCAUAGUUGGAUUUUUUCUUCAUUUUGUUCUUCAACUCAGCUAAUUUGGUAUCAGGGGUCAAUUCUCGAGGCCAGCAUCUGCCGUGAUUGGAUUUUUUCUUCAUUUUGUUUCUCAACUCGGUUUAUCUAGUGACAGGGGUCAAUUUCCGAGGUCGACACCUGUCGUGGUUGGAUUUUUUUUUCUUCAUUUUAUUUCUCAACUCGGCUUAUCUG